CAAAGCAAAGAGGUGCAGAGGAAGCUAUCUCAGCUUCAGUUGGAAGAACUCACAAGAAGAGAAAAAGAGAAGAAAAAACAGGCGGUUGUUUCAGAGCCGGUUGAAACAAUAUUGCAAGCCGCCCAGCAGGGCGCACCACAAACCCAACCUCCUCAACAGGCAUUCUUUACCUCAGUACAACAGCCUCAGAGCCAAUGGUCACCCACUCCAUCAUUCAUAUACACCAUUCAGAUACACCUACAUAAUACUGGGAACCUAACAAAUGGGAAUAGGCGGAAUCAGAAUAAGGGGCCCAAAGGUCAGUAUAUAAACAAUUUACAACAAGGACACCAAGGACAGUUUAGAAACAAUCAACAACAAGGAUCCCAAGGACAACGCAGAGGUCCUUUAAUAUGCUAUGGGUGCAACAUGGAAGGACAUAUUAGGAGGAAUUGUUUGGCUAACCCUUAUCCACCACAGCAAGGACAGGGUAACAGCUAUCAGGGAAGGCAGGAACAAGGAGGUAGCUACCAGGCAGGUCCCUUUAUGGGACAGGGAUACUAGGGGUGCUCAGAGAAUCCACAGGGGGAGGGUCAGCUUGUAGCGAUCACAAAACAAGCUGAUGAGGAACCAAUACUGCAGGUUCUGAUAAAUUGUAGAGGCAUGCCAAUGAUGGAUGACACUGGAGCCACUCACACUUGCAGAAAACAUAGAAACACCACUGGGAUUGGUGAUUCUGUGGCUCUUGGAGACUCUGCAUCGCGUCGGAACACCAUGUGGUAUAGAUCAUUACAUCUUGGUACACAGAGCACUGGUGAGACAACAGGUUGGAUCAGAGGGAGAAGGUGUUUGGAGAAGGGAGAGGAAUGUAAUGACAGCAAAAAGGGCAGAUGCGGACCUACGCAGAGGUAAUAAAUCAGCGGAGAGGAGGCUGGGGGUCCGUUUAGCUCAGGAAGUAGAGGGUGUCUUGUAACCGAAAGGUUGCUAGUUCGAUCCCCAUCUCCUCCUAGCUGAGUGUUGAUGUGUCCCUGAGUAAGUUACAUGGUGAUCACAGGAUUUAGGAAUAAUUAUCUAGACUCCAAAACAUGAGCAAUUAGCGUUAAAAAUUGUCUGCACACCACACUCCACAGGAGUCAAUGGGUUCAAUGGCGCCAGGGUAAAGUGACUCAUCAAAAGAGGAGCGGACCCAACCCAUGGACUCUGCGUGGAUAGGUGGAUGUUAUUUU